CAGGCUUUACCUUACUUUUAUGUGGUGUUUCUUACAAUCCUUCUCCUCGACCGGGCGAAAAGGGAUGAUGAUCGGUGCCGAUCCAAGUAUGGAAAAUACUGGAAAUCGUACUGCGAGAAGGUUCGGUACAGGGUCAUCCCCGGAAUUUACUGAGAAAAUGUUGCACAAGUGUUUGUUCUAUGUUGAGAAUGGCAUGUAUAUUCAGCCUUUCCAAAUUAAAUGAUGGCAGGCUGGUAUCAUGUUGUUGUUAUUGUUGUUUUUGUAAUGGUCAACUUUAUGGAUGUUGUAUUUCUCUCAUCUUCAAUGACCAAAAACUUUUCUUGUUUAGGAAAA